rnacentral:rRNA from 1 species
GACAGAGGAUGCAAGCGUUAUCCGGAAUGAUUGGGCGUAAAGCGUCUGUAGGUGGCUUUUUAAGUCCGCCGUCAAAUCCCAGGGCUCAACCCUGGACAGGCGGUGGAAACUACCAAGCUGGAGUACGGUAGGGGCAGAGGGAAUUUCCGGUGGAGCGGUGAAAUGCGUAGAGUAUGGAAAGACACCAAGCGAGGACACUC